AACACGUGGGCAACCUGCCUGUAAGACUGGGAUAACUUCGGGAAACCGAAGCUAAUACCGGAUAGGAUCUUCUCCUUCAUGGGAGAUGAUUGAAAGAUGGUUUCGGCUAUCACUUACAGAUGGGCCCGCGGUGCAUUAGCUAGUUGGUGAGGUAACGGCUCACCAAGGCAACGAUGCAUAGCCGACCUGAGAGGGUGAUCGGCCACACUGGGACUGAGACACGGCCCAGACUCCUACGGGAGGCAGCAGUAGGGAAUCUUCCGCAAUGGACGAAAGUCUGACGGAGCAACGCCGCGUGAGUGAUGAAGGCUUUCGGGUCGUAAAACUCUGUUGUUAGGGAAGAACAAGUACGAGAGUAACUGCUCGUACCUUGACGGUACCUAACCAGAAAGCCACGGCUAACUACGUGCCAGCAGCCGCGGUAAUACGUAGGUGGCAAGCGUUAUCCGGAAUUAUUGGGCGUAAAGCGCGCGCAGGCGGUUUCUUAAGUCUGAUGUGAAAGCCCACGGCUCAACCGU
rnacentral:rRNA from 2 species